UGGGGAAUAUUGGGCAAUGGGCGCAAGCCUGACCCAGCAACGCCGCGUGAAGGAAGAAGGCUUUCGGGUUGUAAACUUCUUUUCUCAGGGACGAAGCAAGUGACGGUACCUGAGGAAUAAGCCACGGCUAACUACGUGCCAGCAGCCGCGGUAAUACGUAGGUGGCAAGCGUUAUCCGGAUUUACUGGGUGUAAAGGGCGUGUAGGCGGGGAAGCAAGUCAGAUGUGAAAACCAUGGGCUCAACUCAUGGCCUGCAUUUGAAACUGUUUUUCUUGAGUACUGGAGAGGCAGACGGAAUUCCUAGUGUAGCGGUGAAAUGCGUAGAUAUUAGGAGGAACACCAGUGGCGAAGGCGGUCUGCUGGACAGCAACUGACGCUGAGGCGCGAAAGCGUGGGGAGCAAACAGGAUUAGAUACC
rnacentral:rRNA from 1 species